GACGAACGCUGGCGGCGUGCCUAAUACAUGCAAGUAGAACGCUGAAGAGAGGAGCUUGCUCUUCUUGGAUGAGUUGCGAACGGGUGAGUAACGCGUAGGUAACCUGCCUGGUAGCGGGGGAUAACUAUUGGAAACGAUAGCUAAUACCGCAUAAAAUUGAUUAUUGCAUGAUAAUUAAUUGAAAGAUGCAACUGCAUCACUACCAGAUGGACCUGCGUUGUAUUAGCUAGUUGGUGAGGUAACGGCUCACCAAGGCGACGAUACAUAGCCGACCUGGGAGGGGGAUCGGCCAACCUGGGACUGAGACACGGCCCAGACUCCUACGGGAGGCAGCAGUAGGGAAUCUUCGGCAAUGGGGGGAACCCUGACCGAGCAACGCCGCGUGAGUGAAGAAGGUUUUCGGAUCGUAAAGCUCUGUUGUAAGAGAAGAACGGGUGUGAGAGUGGAAAGUUCACACUGUGACGGUAUCUUACCAGAAAGGGACGGCUAACUACGUG
rnacentral:rRNA from 1 species